UGACUGCGUACCUUUUGUAUAAUGGGUCAGCGACUUAUAUUCUGUAGCAAGGUUAACCGAAUAGGGGAGCCGGAGGGAAACCGAGUCUUAAUUGGGCGUUAAGUUGCAGGGUAUAGACCCGAAACCCGGUGAUCUAGCCAUGGGCAGGUUGAAGGUUGGGUAACACUAACUGGAGGACCGAACCGACUAAUGUUGAAAAAUUAGCGGAUGACCUGUGGCUGGGGGUGAAAGGCCAAUCAAACCGGGAGAUAGCUGGUUCUCCCCGAAAGCUAUUUAGGUAGCGCCUCGUGAAUUCAUCUCCGGGGGUAGAGCACUGUUUCGGCUAGGGGGCCAUCCCGGCUUACCAACCCGAUGCAAACUGCGAAUACCGGAGAAUGUUAUCACGGGAGACACACGGCGGGUGCUAACGUCCGUCGUGAAGAGGGAAACAACCCAGACCGCCAGCUAAGGUCCCAAAGUCAUGGUUAAGUGGGAAACGAUGUGGGAAGGCCCAGACAGCCAGGAUGUUGGCUUAGAAGCAGCCAUCAUUUAAAGAAAGCGUAAUAGCUCACUGGUCGAGUCGGCCUGCGCGGAAGAUGUAACGGGGCUAAACCAUGCACCGAAGCUGCGGCAGCGACACUGUGUGUUGUUGGGUAGGGGAGCGUUCUGUAAGCCUGCGAAGGUGGCCUGUGAGGGUUGCUGGAGGUAUCAGAAGUGCGAAUGCUGACAUAAGUAACGAUAAAGCGGGUGAAAAGCCCGCUCGCCGGAAGACCAAGGGUUCCUGUCCAACGUUAAUCGGGGCAGGGUGAGUCGACCCCUAAGGCGAGGCCGAAAGGCGUAGUCGAUGGGAAACGGGUUAAUAUUCCCGUACUUGGUGUUACUGCGAAGGGGGGACGGAGAAGGCUAUGUUGGCCGGGCGACGGUUGUCCCGGUUUAAGCGUGUAGGUGUGUGUUCCAGGUAAAUCCGGUUCACUUUAACACUGAGGCGUGACGACGAGGCACUACGGUGCUGAAGCAACAAAUGCCCUGCUUCCAGGAAAAGCCUCUAAGCAUCAGGUAACAUCAAAUCGUACCCCAAACCGACACAGGUGGUCAGGUAGAGAAUACCAAGGCGCUUGAGAGAACUCGGGUGAAGGAACUAGGCAAAAUGGUGCCGUAACUUCGGGAGAAGGCACGCUGACACGUAGGUGAAGUGAUUUACUCAUGGAGCUGAAGUCAGUCGAAGAUACCAGCUGGCUGCAACUGUUUAUUAAAAACACAGCACUGUGCAAACACGAAAGUGGACGUAUACGGUGUGACGCCUGCCCGGUGCCGGAAGGUUAAUUGAUGGGGUCAGCGCAAGCGAAGCUCCUGAUCGAAGCCCCGGUAAACGGCGGCCGUAACUAUAACGGUCCUAAGGUAGCGAAAUUCCUUGUCGGGUAAGUUCCGACCUGCACGAAUGGCGUAAUGAUGGCCAGGCUGUCUCCACCCGAGACUCAGUGAAAUUGAACUCGCUGUGAAGAUGCAGUGUACCCGCGGCAAGACGGAAAGACCCCGUGAACCUUUACUAUAGCUUGACACUGAACAUUGAGCCUUGAUGUGUAGGAUAGGUGGGAGGCUUUGAAGUGUGGACGCCAGUCUGCAUGGAGCCGACCUUGAAAUACCACCCUUUAAUGUUUGAUGUUCUAACGUGGACCCGUUACCCGGGUUGCGGACAGUGUCUGGUGGGUAGUUUGACUGGGGCGGUCUCCUCCUAAAGAGUAACGGAGGAGCACGAAGGUUGGCUAAUCCUGGUCGGACAUCAGGAGGUUAGUGCAAUGGCAUAAGCCAGCUUGACUGCGAGCGUGACGGCGCGAGCAGGUGCGAAAGCAGGUCAUAGUGAUCCGGUGGUUCUGAAUGGAAGGGCCAUCGCUCAACGGAUAAAAGGUACUCCGGGGAUAACAGGCUGAUACCGCCCAAGAGUUCAUAUCGACGGCGGUGUUUGGCACCUCGAUGUCGGCUCAUCACAUCCUGGGGCUGAAGUAGGUCCCAAGGGUAUGGCUGUUCGCCAUUUAAAGUGGUACGCGAGCUGGGUUUAGAACGUCGUGAGACAGUUCGGUCCCUAUCUGCCGUGGGCGCUGGAGAACUGAGGGGGGCUGCUCCUAGUACGAGAGGACCGGAGUGGACGCAUCACUGGUGUUCGGGUUGUCAUGCCAAUGGCACUGCCCGGUAGCUAAAUGCGGAAGAGAUAAGUGCUGAAAGCAUCUAAGCACGAAACUUGCCCCGAGAUGAGUUCU
rnacentral:rRNA from 2 species